rnacentral:lncRNA from 1 species
UUGGGCGGGCCGGGUAAGGUCCAGCCGUAUCCGCCUCCUUCAUGUCCCGCUGUGGGAGGGGCUCUGGAGCGCCGGGACUGUGAGAUGGCCAAUGACGGUCUGACCCGUUGGGCCGGGCCAGGUCGCGGACAACGUCGACCGUUUGUUUAAGAAGCGUGGACUCUUGUCCUGAGUGCACCGAGGCUUUCAGCCUGCGGGACAGUGGUGCGAUUUGCAUUAGAGAAAGGGAGAUGCCAUGUGCUGGCCCAGCACUCCAACAGGGGCCUGACCUCUAGGAACGGGACACUGGAGGAAGCCUAGACAUCUGAACAAAUCAAGUCAUCCAGAUCCACGGUCAGCUCCUGCCCCGACUUGGCCUUCCUCCUGCUGGGCUGGCCCACGGACCUCGGGAACCUGCCCUGGCUGUGGGUGACCUGCAGCCUAUCUCCCAGGACUAUGGAAGCCCCAUGCAGGAACAUGGUUCUGACACUUUGGGGAUUAUACCCUAAGCUUAAAGGACUGGAAAAGCCCCUGAAGUCCCGAGACCACAACCCUCCACCUUCUAAAGAUAAGACAAGUCACUGAAGGUCUCAGAACUGUGGCCCAUUCACCCCUUCCCUCAAGACAAGAGUGUGGCCAAGCAUCAAUCUCACCCCCAGAGACCAGACGGUGUCCAGGUCUUGGGCAGACGAAACCUGCUCCUUGGGGAUGGUCUUCCUGGCUGUGCUUCCAAAGGGCUGGCCUGCAAUCAGCUGGUUUUCACUUGAUCCUUUCGGGGUUUGCAUUAUAUCUGACUGAAGGAAUGAACUGGGAGAGAACAGCAGAGCCGCAGCGGAAUGUGGAAAGGCCCACGUCCAGACUGUUCCCAUUCUGAUUUAAAAGCCUGAUGAAGGAACAGCUGAACUCAGAGAAACAGCAGGCAACCUCAUGGAGACCAUGGACCCCUCUGCCAUCCCACCCAUCUUUGAACCAAUGCAAACUGUCUUCAGAACUCAUGCCCUUACAUAAACAGGCUCUACAGGCAGAUCACCUGAGGUUGAAAGGUGAAGCCACCUGGACUUCUGGGUCCAGUAGAGACUUGGAGAACUUUUCUGUCUUACAAAAGGAUUGUAAAAUGCACCAAUCAGCACUCUGUAGCUAGGAUUGUAAAACGCACCAGUGUUCUGUAGCUAGCUAGAGGUUUGUAAAAUGCACCAAUCAGUGCUCUGUAGCUAGCCAGAGGUUCGUAAAAUGCACCAAUCAGUGCUCUGUAAAAACACACCAAUCAGUGCUCCGUAGCUAGCUAGAGGUUUGUAAAAUGAACCAAUCAGCACUCUGUAAAAUGGACCAAUCAGUGCUCUGUAAAAUGGACCAAUCAGCACUCUGUAAAAUGGACCAAUCCACUCUGUAAAAUGGACCAAAUGGGAGGGGACAACUCAGGGAAUAAAAGCUGGCCACCCCAGCCCUCAGCGGUAACCUGCUUAAGUCCCCUUCCAGGCUGUGGGAGGUUUGUUCUUUCGUUCUCCACAAUAAAUCUUGCUGCUGCUCAGUCUUGGGGUCCGCAUCACCUGUAAGAGCUGUAACACUCACUGUGAAGGUCACGCUUCAUUCCUGAAAUCAGCGAGACCAUGAACCCACUGGAAGGAACAAACUCCGGACACAAGGGCAGGAGUUUGAGACCAGCCUGACCAACAGGGCGAAACACUGUGUCUACCACAAUUACAAAAAUUAGCUGGGCUUGGUGGUACGCACCUGUAGUCCCAGCUACUUGGGAGGCUGAGACAGGAGAAUUGCUUGAACCCUGGAAGCAGAGGAUGUACUGAGCCAAGAUUGUGCCACUGCACUAUAGCCUGGGCGACAGAGACUCUGUCUCAAUAAAUAAAUAAAUAAAUAAAUAAUAUAAAAAAAAAACCUCUACAAUAUUUUCCUGCUGUCCUCCUAACACUUGAACUUGGGCUAAUGCAAUUUAAGCUUCAAGUCUCCCCAGUGUCAGUGAAGUGAAGCAAUGAACAGUGCCUAAUGAGCCCUUAAAAUGUAGACCACCCAUCUACAUAGCGCCUUCUUUUCCACCCCUUUAAACAAAUGAUAGCUACUGCUGUUUGAUUUUUACAUUAAGAAGAACGUGUUGUCAAAAGUACCUAAAUCAUUUUCUCAGCUUGGUGCUUCACUUUCCCUUUAAGGAUGCAGACUAAGGAUCUUAAUUUAUGAGUUACCCACUCAAGCCUCUUUGCCACACACCUGGACCUGUUUGCAGAAUUAAAUUAUUGGCUGUGAAUCUAACAUCAAACCUCCAGAUGGCACCAGAGAACUGAGAAAAACAAUUCCAUUGCCAAGGAGCCUUUGUGUUGCUGACAAGAGAGGAGCAGGCUGAGAGAAAACGCCCUGUUUGUCACAAAGUUACAUCUGCGAGCUCCUUCAAGGAAGGGAGGUGCCUGACGCUCCUUGUUAAUGCCGGUUGCUGUUACAGACUUGCAAUUGUGCAACUCUGUGAUGUAAACAGGCAGGCUUUGUAUUUUUGCAGUGCCCCUGGAGAGUGGAGAGGGUGGUUCUCUUGGCUGUCUCUGGAACAAAUUUGGGUAAGUGCUCAAAGAUGUGUUACUACAGAAUGUACUUGUGAAGUUCUUGUUGCAGUGCAGUCAGAUAAGCAAAGAUAUCUGCUAGAAAAUAAAGAAAAAGCUACACAAUUUUAGACUUUGUAGUUCAUUGUCUUUUAAGACAGCAAGUCCUGCUAUUGUCUGUCAUAAAGCUACAGAAAAAGACCAUAUUGAAAACUGACGAUAGCAGUUGAUUAUUUGUGAAAAGCCUGAGAGAUGAUUCAGUAAAUACAAGGUGAAUUUCAUUGCAUCUUCAUGCAAUCAGAGACUUGCAUACACUUUUUAUCCCCUAAACAGAUGAACGAAUGGCAUGGGCCAGCUAGCAGGGAGUUGGCAGGAUAAAGUUCUAACCAACAAUUGCCACUUGCCUUCCUUUCUUCCAUCAGCUUCUAGCUUACCUUUCAGAGACAGGUUCUAUCAAAGGAAACCUAAAGGGAACCUUCCUCCCUGGCCCUGCCCCAUCUAGCGUCCACAAGGAUACUACACUCCAGUGAAGACUAGGGUGUAUCCCAACUCCCCAAGAGCAGCAUCAACAGCUAUUAAUCCUAAAAGUCUUGGUUUACUUCUGCAACAUUGAGACACUUGCUGGGGCCAGAGCACAGGGGGCAAAUGGGAACCUGAAAUGCUCUUUUCCCAGCUUACUGCAGGACUCUUUGUCUCAUCUGUUAGCCAUAUGUCACCCCAUUAGAGAGAUCUCUCCUGACCAUCCCAUCUAAAAUUAUUUCCAGUUACUCACUCUCUCAUCCCUCUGCACUUAUGUGAAUAAAACAGUCUCAUUUUAUACUUGAUUGUCUGCCUUCCCUCCCUACAGUUAUUGUUGAAGCAGGCAGGAAUUCCCUCUGUCUGGCUCCCACGGUAUCCCCACCUUUUAGAAGAGUGUGUGGCAUGUAG